AUUUCCAAAAAGGUGAGUUAAGAUGAGGAAAGCCUGAAGCCAGUCUUGCAAAGAGGUGGUGGUGGCCAUGCAGUUGGAUACCUGGAACUCUUAGCUCUCUGCAGGAUGCCAGGGCACCAAAGGCUGGAAGCCUUAGCCGUGCCUUGUCAGGAAAAACUCUGUGGAGGCUCGUCUGUAGUAAACAGUGGUUACAGGGAGCCGGUCUGUGCCAAAUCGAGGACACGCAGCUGCCAGAUCUUGAAUACAAACCUUAAAACCUCACAAACAUCAAGUUCCAGAGGAGUCUCCAAGUCCUAGAACUUCUAUGACACUGUUGGCUUCAGGAAAACUGGUCACUUCAGAGCCCAAUGCUAAGGACCCCUAUUUCCCAAAAUUGUGAUCUUAAGCAAGCUGCACCUCCAUUUUGCCCAUCGGUCUAAAAACAAUACAGCCAUGAUGAGAUGGACCUCAGAGGGUGAGAAGUGUUUGGCUCUGUCUGGAAUGUAGAAAAUUCUAGUUAAAUGUUGGCUACCAAAAUUAUGACAGCUGUUUAGAAUCCUAAACCUUUGCAAACGGGAGUGUUUCUUUCCUUUUGUUUGUGGUUUUGGUUUUUUGUUUUUGUUUUUUUGUGUUUUUUGUUUUUUUCUUUUUCUUUUUACACGGAAUCUGGCUAUAUAGCCCCAAGCAACCUUAAACUCUUGAUUCUUCUGCCUCAGUUUCUGGGGUGCUGGGAUUACUGGUAUGUGAUACUGGAUGAAACUGGAACUUUUCAGAGUAGACUGUUACAAAGUUUAGAAUCAUCAGGCUAUGGCUAUAUUGUUCCUGACAGGACUAGGACCCUGGGCCGCUAUGUGUAUGGUUUUUUUGUUUGUUUGUUUUAACAACCCAGAGCCUUGUGCGUGUUAAACAAGCACUCUGGCACUGAGCUGCAAUGGCCAGCCUUUCUUCCCCUUGCCCUUCUUGGUGAUGCUGGCUGCAUUAACAGCCACUGGGGCUGUUCCCAGGUGGGUGGCUGCUGGGUCAGGGCACUCAGCACAAACAUGAUGUGGGGCUCACUCAGAGACUCGCAGCAGCUUCUGGGAGCCAGCCAUUCUGAGACUCUCUGAUUCUGUGAAUUUGUGGGGGGAGUACAGCCCACUUUUUUCUCCAUGAAUUGCUUUCCAUGCCUCUUGCCUUCUGUGGAAAGAAAGGCUACAGGAGUGGCCAGCUCUGCCAAGCCUUGGCAACAUGAUGGUGGUGAUCAUAUGCAUGCUUGCUAAGGAAAUACUGAGGUUUGGAGCAGAAGGAAGCCUCUGGAGACAGAGCACUACCCCACCUCUCCCCUGGCUGCUUCCCAUUCACAUGGCAGGCUUCAGAUCCCUUCUUCUGUUCAACCCAGCGAUCCUCCAACGUCUCACAAACACAAUGCUGUCUCUACCUGCCUCGGGAUGCCUUUGUGAUUUGACUUAUUUUCCCUCAGUUUUUUUUUUCUGACUCUACACACUUUUGUUUAAGAAAUUGUGGUUUCUCAUGAGCCCUGUUAUCUCAUUGAUACCUUUUACCUCUGUGGUGAGGGGAAGAAAUCAUAUUUUCAGAUGACUUGUAAAGGGCAAAGAAAAAACCCAAAAUUUCAAAAUUUCCGUUUAAGUCUCAUAAGAAAAGAAUAAACAAAGUAAGAGAGCAAAGAAAAAAAAACUACAAGAACCCCCCCCCCACCCUGCAAUUAUCAGCACACACACUCAUCAAAAAAAAAUUGGAUUAUUAGAAGAGCGAGGUCUGCGGCUUCCACGCCGUGGUUUUUCUUCUCGGUAUAAAAGCAAAGUUGUUUUUGAUAAUGUGGCAGUUUCCCACAAGCCAGGCUGAUCCCCCUCUAGCAGUCCACUUCACCAAGGUGAGCGAGUGUCCCUGCUCUCCCCCACCAGACACAGCUCUGCUGGCGAAAGUGGCAGAGAGGUAUUGAGGGUGGGUGUCAGGAGCCCACCAGUACAGCUGGAAACACCCAGCCACUCCAGGUAAGGACUUUGGAAACUAAUACCAUUCAUCCUAAAUGCCAGAUAGGUGGAGCAGUUGGUCCUUAGACAGGGGCAAAAAGAAGUACUUUGAUUGUUUGAUGCACAGAUAAACAGGAUUUUUUUUUAACAUAUGUCUAUCAACUGCUGGUCUCCAGGAAUGCCGGAGCUUUAGGCAACUCAAGAUGCUGUCCAGCUAUAACUAGAAACUAGAAGUGCAUCUCUUGUUUCUUUUCCUCCUGCUGUCUUCCAUUUCUUCUCCUGUCUCCCCCUGCUUCUUUGCCUGUCUCUGCCUUCCAUCAGUGCCCAGUCUCUGUCUCUUUCCCAGGCUCUGACUAUAUGCCUGUCUGUCUCUUCCAGCCUGGCCAGCCACAGUCCCUUUCUUUCCUCCCGCUCUCUGACUCUCGGCUCAUCUUCCUUCAGCUGCUUUUGCACCCGGUAUUGAGCGCAGAUAUUUGUACACAACUGGCGCUUAAUAAUAAUGGCUUAAGAGCUCUGUUUUCCAAGAACGGGCAUUAGUUCUGUGUGUCUUAGGUUUGUGAGCUGUCAGGUCAGUCUUAGCAUUUAACUGACCUUCUGCUUGUGUCACGCAAGAUAACACCCUCAGUCAGCCACAGUUUAGCAAAGGACUAUAUGACUGUGAGCAGAAUCCAUGUGCAAGGAGAGCAGGCAGUUCAGGACGAGGGUGAGCUGGUCUCUGCAGGUUUAGUGCUGUGGCACUGUGCCUGGUAUAUGGUGAGUUCUCACUGUUUGCUAUUAGCAUUUUUAAACAAAUUAGAAUCGUGCUAUAGAUUGGAUUUGUUUCUGCUCUGUUCAAGCGAUACCAUUUUUGUAGCAUACUAAAAUAACGAACACGUGAUCUUUUAUGUCUGCCGUGACUGUCCUCACAUCACCAUGAAUUUGAUUACCUGAAUUAAGUGCUGAUGGUGGGAUAUUUGGGUUUCUUCUGAUUCUAAAACUCCAUACCUGACUCCAUGGAUCCUGAAAAUGGAGUAGCUGGGGAAGAAGGGGUGUACAUCUUAAGGGGUUUUGCCCUCUCUACAAAUUGCUUUUCCAAAACGUUGUCUUAUUUUCUGUUGUUUCUAUUCAAGUUAAUUUUAGGUGUGUGUUACCAUUUUUAAUCCUUCCCCAUCAUAAGAAAAAUGACAAGUAUUAAAAUUUUGCAUUUUGGUUACUUUUAAUGACCACUGACCAUUUGUGCUCUGUAGGCUAGAGUUUUAUGAUCACAUUCUUCAUCCUACUAAAUUGCUCAUGAUUUUUCAAAAUUGCUAAUAGCUCUUAAUUUAGAAAGGAUAAUAACUAUUGGCUAUAUGUAUAUGACACAUAUUUCCCUGAAAUUCAUCAUUUGUGUGUAUGUGUAUUUUAAUUGUAUUCAUUUACUUAGUUUAUGAGCAUGCAUGUUCUUCCUGCAUGUGCACCAUAUGUGUGCCUGGUGCCCACAGAGGCCAGAAGAUGGUGUGGGAUCUCAUGGGACUGGAGUUACAGAUGGUUACGUGGGUGCUGGCGCUUAUGUGGCUUCUUUCUAUGGUUUUGUGUUUAAAAGCCUUUUACCACUUGAAAAUGAGAAGCUACCUCCUCUACAAGAGCAGCAGUGCUCUUACCCAUGGAGCCAUCUCUCCAGCCCUAUUUGUAUGGGGGGGGGGGGUCUUCUGAGACAAGGUCUCACUCUAUAGCCCUGACUGGCCUAAAACUCACUGUAUAGACCAGGCUGACCUCAAACUCACAAAGACCCAUCCAUCUGCCUCUGCCUUCUGAGAAGUGGGAUAGAAGACAUACACCACCACGGCGGGCAAUCACUUGCUUUUUUUCCCUAUUUAUUGUGCUUUGUAAUGCAUGUGUCUUUUAGGUCUUUAGAUUACUCUUUUCUUGUGGGGCUUCUGUGUAUGGUUUUGUGUUUUAAGUCUUUUGCACUUGAAAAUGAGAUAACUGUUCACCCCAUGUUGGCUUCCAGUCUCCUUUAUGGCUUCAUUUUUUCCAUUUACUGCAGAGGUCAAAAGUGUGGGUAUGGGAGCCAGACUGUCUGGAACAACCUAGCCUCAACUCAAGUCAUCUGUGUGAAUUUUACCCAGGCUCUUAACCUCUCUGUACCUCCAUUUCCUCGUAUGUACUGUGAUGAUUAUAACAGUACCUACCUCAGAGGAUCUUUCUGAGGAUUAUUUUUAUUAAUGAUGGUAGGUGCUCAGCA
rnacentral:lncRNA from 1 species